rnacentral:rRNA from 1 species
AGUGAACGCUGGCGGUAGGCCUAACACAUGCAAGUCGAACGGCAGCACAGAGGAGCUUGCUCCUUGGGUGGCGAGUGGCGGACGGGUGAGGAAUACAUCGGAAUCUACUCUGUCGUGGGGGAUAACGUAGGGAAACUUACGCUAAUACCGCAUACGACCUACGGGUGAAAGCAGGGGACCUUCGGGCCUUGCGCGAUUGAAUGAGCCGAUGUCGGAUUAGCUAGUUGGCGGGGUAAAGGCACACCAAGGCGACGAUCCGUAGCUGGUCUGAGAGGAUGAUCAGCCACACUGGAACUGAGACACGGUCCAGACUCCUACGGGAGGCAGCAGUGGGGAAUAUUGGACAAUGGGCGCAAGCCUGAUCCAGCCAUACCGCGUGGGUGAAGAAGGCCUUCGGGUUGUAAAGCCCUUUUGUUGGGAAAGAAAUCCAGCUGACUAAUACCCGGUUGGGAUGACGGUACCCAAAGAAUAAGCACCGGCUAACUUCGUGCCAGCCGCCGCAGUAA